GACACCUGCUGGCCUCGGGCCAGGCCGUGGGAACGGGGCCCGGCGGCGGCCCCCAGGGCGUGGUCCUGGCUGCGGGCGGCUCCUCGCGCCCUCCGGUCCCGGGCCCCCGGCGCGACCGCCCGCUCUCCGCGGUCUCGAGGCUCCGCUCUUUGUUUUCCGAACUUCGGGCACCUCGGCGGCCGAGCGCCCCCGGCGGCUCCGGCCCAGGCGCCGCGGGCAGGAGUCGGAGACGCUCGCCCAGAGUCCAGCGCGGGGUCCAGCCCUGGCGUCGGUCGCAUCUACGGCCCAGCCGUCCCCACCCGCAACCCCAGAACCAGCCCAGAGUCCCGAGCGAUCUCAGACCCUGGAGACCUGGGUCCCCGGGACUGAGGGGGUGAGCUGCGAGCGCAGCCUCGCUGCCCCCUCUCCCCUCGCAGAUUUCGGGUUUUCUCCCCUCAGACUGGCCCCCGCUUCUGCCCCAUCUGGCAGGUGUGCGCGAAGAUGUGCUCUGCCGGUGCUGGAGGGUGGGGGCCCUGCAGGAGAUCCCAUCUGCGGAGGGACAGGGACACCUGGAUUGGGGUCUCCACGCUUCCCUGAGGAGGCCAGGUCAGAUUCAACCCCACCUGGCUCCCCCCUACCCAGGGUUCGGCGUAUAAAUACUCUGAAAUUGGGAAAUGGAUCAGGAGGGAUCAGACCUGUGGGGCCCCCUGCAGCUGAAGGGAGGAUGCUCAGAGCCCCACGGGUGCGAAGGAGGACAAUUAUUAAGUACCUAUGGUUUGCAGGGCGGUUGGGGGGUGCCCUGCUUUGGGGCACUGGACUCCACCAUCUCUGUUUGCCAGUCAAACCCUCCCACUCUGGACAGGAGCUCAAGGACACUGGGGAGAUGGGACUGGACCUAGAGGCCUGAGGCCCAGCUGUUUCUGCGUCUGGGUGACUUCGGCCACUGGGUCUCCUCCCCUCCGGCUCCUGGCCCACGCUGUCCUCAAGGGAAGCCCUGAUGGGGUGGGGCGGGCGCAGCUGCUGGGCUGGCGGCUGCCCCCAUUCUGUGAGCCAGGCCAGCCGGGUGUCUGUCCCACGUGGGACCCCCUGGACAGUCCUGGAGCCGAGUAAGUGCCUGGAGUGGCAGCCAGCUGGUCCCGGCAGUGGGGGUCCUGCUCCAGCAGCUGUUCCCAGAAGGUUGCACCACAGGCCACAGCUUCCUGGCUGUCCCUGGCCUCCUGCAGAUCCUGAGUCUCAAGGGGCUGGAGGGCCGCUUCUCUCGGGAGCUGAGAAAUAAGCAAUGGGGGCCCCUCCCUCCCCUCUCCCUCCACCUGGAGGCGGGCAAGAAGAGGGGGCUCCCCAAGACAGGGAAGCUCCUG
rnacentral:lncRNA from 1 species